UUCUAUGGGACGACAGCAGAGAUUUCAAUAUUGAAUGAUCAAUGGUCAUACCAUGGUUGGCUGUGCAGCGUUUGGAUGCUCCAAUCGGUCCGAGAAGGGUUACCACAUGUAUGGCUUCCCCAAGGACCAAGAGCGCAGGAAGAAAUGGAUGGCAAUGGUCAGCCGUCAAAACAUACAAGUGACAGGGGUCAGCAACCGUCAAAAACUAUGUAAUGUAAUUAAUGUUCACAUCACUUGAUAGCAUUUCAAAGGGCAUAAUAAUUCUAAGUGUAGAGAAUUAUGACUUUUCAAUGAUAUUUUAAGUGCAAUGGAAACUGAUCUUACAAGCCUACCUAUAAAAAGGUACACUUUGAAGAUGACCAA